rnacentral:tRNA from 1 species
GGGCCCGUAGCCUAGCAUGGAUAAGGCGCCGGCCUUCGGAGCCGGAGAUCCCGGGUUCAAAUCCCGGCGGGCCCGCCA